CUCUAAUUUAUUUGUUUUCAUUUUCUUUAUUUUUAUUUUUUGAUAUUAAUAGUGAACUUACUGAUCUUGGGCAUAUUUAUAUGCUCAAAGCACCAAUAUGCACCCGGUUUGAACUUAGUUUAAGAACUUUUGUAUGAAUUCUUAAGUAUAAUUUAGCUUUUAUUCCGUUUUGUGCCUAAUGGAUAUGAUAAGUACUUUCAGGAUCAAAAUCAUAAAGAACUGUACAUAAUUGGAUACAAGGAGGAUAGGGAGGUAGUAUGCAAGGGACUGAAAUCAAGCUGAAAAAGGGAAGUUGGAAUGAAG
rnacentral:lncRNA from 1 species